AUUGAACGCUGGCGGCAGGCCUAACACAUGCAAGUCGAGCGGAUGAAGGGAGCUUGCUCCUGGAUUCAGCGGCGGACGGGUGAGUAAUGCCUAGGAAUCUGCCUGGUAGUGGGGGAUAACGUCCGGAAACGGGCGCUAAUACCGCAUACGUCCUGAGGGAGAAAGUGGGGGGUCUUCGGACCUCACGCUAUCAGAUGAGCCUAGGUCGGAUUAGCUAGUUGGUGGGGUAAAGGCCUACCAAGGCGACGAUCCGUAACUGGUCUGAGAGGAUGAUCAGUCACACUGGAACUGAGACACGGUCCAGACUCCUACGGGAGGCCGCAGUGGGGAACAUUGGACAAUGGGCGAAAGCCUGAUCCAGCCAUGCCGCGUGUGUGAAGAAGGUCUUCGGAUUGUAAAGCACUUUAAGUUGGGAGGAAGGGCAGUAAGUUAAUACCUUGCUGUUUUGACGUUACCAACAGAAUAAGCACCGGCUAACUUCGUG
rnacentral:rRNA from 1 species